GGGACUGUGGCCAAGCGGUUAAGGGGCCUUGGAUAGAUCGUGACGACGCAGGUUUGAUUCCUGCUGGUUUCG